UUUAUUUUUCCUUUUUUUUUUUUCCCUUCUAUUUCUCUUUCCCU
rnacentral:ribozyme from 14 species